rnacentral:rRNA from 1 species
CAGCAGCCCGAGUGGUGGUCGUUUUUAUUGGGCCUAAAGCGUCCGUAGCCGGUCUAGUAAAUCCUUGGAUAAAUCGUACAGCUUAACUGUACGGCUCCCGGGGAGACUGCUAGACUUGGGACUGGGAGAGGUCGGAGGUACUCCAGGGGUAGGGGUGAAAUCUUGUAAUCCUUGGGGGACCACCAGUGGCGAAGGCGUCCGACUAGAACGGGUCCGACGGUAAGGGACGAAGCCCUGGGGCGCGAACCGGAUUAGAUACCCGCGUAGUCC